rnacentral:rRNA from 1 species
GCCGCGGUAAUUCCAGCUCCAAUAGCGUAUACUAAAGUUGUUGCGGUUAAAAAGCUCGUAGUUGGAUCUUGGAAUGUGUUCAAGCGGGUCAGCUUCUGGCUGUGCGCUGCUUGACGUGUUCUUCUAUUUGGUUUUGGUGCGGUGCGCUUAACUGCGUGUCGCUCCCGGCCGAAACGUUUACCUUGAAAAAAUUAGAGUGUUCAAAGCAGACCUGUUUGAGUCUGAAUAUUCGUGCAUGGAAUAAUGAAAUAUGAAUUCGGUUCUAUUUUGUUGGUUUUCGGAACUCGAGUUAAUGAUCAAGAGGGACAGACGGGGGCAUUCGUACUCUGCCGUUAGAGGUGAAAUUCUUGGAUCGGCGGAAGACGCGCAACUGCGAAAGCAUUUGCCAAGAAUGUUUUCUUUAAUCAAGAACGAUAGUCGGAGGUUCGAAGACGAUCAGAUACCGUCCUAGUUUCGACUGUAAACUAUGCCAGCUAACGAUCAGACAGAGUUCUCUACGACUUGUCUGGCAGUUUCCGGGAAACCAAAGCGUUUGGGUUCCGGGGGAAGUAUGGUUGCAAAGCCGAAACUUAAAGGAAUUGACGGAAGGGCACCACCAGGAGUGGAGCCUGCGGCUUAAUUUGACUCAACACGGGGAAACUCACCCGGCCCGGACACAGUGAGGAUUGACAGAUUGAGAGUUCUUUCUUGAUUCUGUGGGUGGUGGUGCAUGGCCGUUCUUAGUUGGUGGAGCGAUUUGUCUGGUUAAUUCCGAUAACGAACGAGACUCUGGCAUGUUAAAUAGUCGCGGAAGUGCGUAUGCACUUGCCGAAUUGACUUCUUAGAGGGACUAGUGAUUUUAAUUCACACGAGAUUGAGCAAUAACAGGUCUGUGAUGGCCCAGCGAUCGUUUAACUGCAGGAC